rnacentral:tRNA from 1 species
AGCUCUGUAGUUUAUGAAAAAUUUUUGUUUGUGGGAUAAAGGAAGAUGAGCUU